rnacentral:rRNA from 1 species
AGUGAACGCUGGCGGCGUGCUUAACACAUGCAAGUCGAACGAGAACGGAAUAUAGCUUGCUAUAUUUGUCAGCUAAGUGGCGCACGGGUGAGUAAUGUACAGAUAACCUGCCCUUAAGAAAGGAAUAACAGUUGGAAACGACUGCUAAUGCCCUAUAUGCCUUUAAUACAUAAGUAUGCAAGGGAAACGCUUUAGUGCUUAAGGAUGGGUCUGUACGGUAUCAGCUUGUUGGUGAGGUAAUGGCUCACCAAGGCUAUGACGCCUAACUGGUUUGGGAGGGUGAUCAGUCACACUGGAACUGAGACACGGUCCAGACUCCUACGGGAGGCAGCAGUGGGGAAUAUUGCACAAUGGACGAAAGUCUGAUGCAGCAACGCCGCGUGGAGGAUGACACAUUUCGGUGCGUAAACUCCUUUUAUAUAGGAAGAUAAUGACGGUACUAUAUGAAUAAGCACCGGCUAACUCCGUGCCAGCCGCCGCCGUAA